GAUGAACGCUGGCGGCGUGCCUAAUACAUGCAAGUCGAGCGAACGGACGAGAAGCUUGCUUCUCUGAUGUUAGCGGCGGACGGGUGAGUAACACGUGGAUAACCUACCUAUAAGACUGGGAUAACUUCGGGAAACCGGAGCUAAUACCGGAUGAUAUUUUGAACCGCAUGGUUCAAAAGUGAAAGACGGUCUUGCUGUCACUUAUAGAUGGAUCCGCGCUGCAUUAGCUAGUUGGUAGGGUAACGGCUUACCAAGGCAACGAUGCAUAGCCGACCUGAGAGGGUGAUCGGCCACACUGGAACUGAGACACGGUCCAGACUCCUACGGGAGGCAGCAGUAGGGAAUCUUCCGCAAUGGGCGAAAGCCUGACGGAGCAACGCCGCGUGAGUGAUGAAGGUCUUCGGAUCGUAAAACUCUGUUAUUAGGGAAGAACAUAUGUGUAAGUAACUGUGCACAUCUUGACGGUACCUAAUCAGAAAGCCACGGCUAACUACGUG
rnacentral:rRNA from 1 species